rnacentral:lncRNA from 1 species
GGUGCUCGAGCUGUGGUGCGUGCCGCUAAGUUGUGCGUUCCAGGGUGCACUCGCCGGCGAGGCUGCACGGCGCCGGUUUCAUUGCUAAAAUCCGACGGACUUGUUGCAGAACUCGUUUUUUUUGUCGGGAAAGGGCUUCCCCGUGUAACUUUACAGCAGUUAUCGUAGAUAAGACUUGCAAAUUACAGAUGUGGACGGUGAGGGAACGGGAAUUUCACUGAAAGCGCCUGAGAACCAGUAAGAGACCUGCAACAGCUUUGUGCUCCACUGGCGAAUGCUUCCUCCCCUAAUACACAUUAUGUGUGCUUGGAGACACAAGGAGUAAGAUACAGCCCCUCAAGGGACUCGUCAUAGGGAGAGGACACAGCUUUGGGAAUAAAGGGGCCACAAAGGAGGAGAGAGGAGUUUGCUGAAACUUCCCAAGCUCCCAUUCCAGCAGUUCCUGAAGGAUUCAUUUCUCUCUGAGGAUCUCAUGAGGUGGCUUAGCAGCUAGAAUCUCUUCCUUAACAGUGGGAAGAACAACUCCUGGAAAUUUAGGUCGACUUUGACUGGAUUUAAAAGAAAGCUGUACAAUUCCACUUCUGUAUAUACAACCAAAGGAAAUGAGAUGUGCAUACCCAUGUUCAAUGAAGCAUUAUUCACAAUAGCCAAAAUGUGGAACCAAUCCUUAAACAAAAGGAAAACAGAAAAUCUGCUCAAGUCCCUGCAGGCACCUGAGAAAAUCACAACCCACACUUGCGAACCCCUAGGAGACCUAAAGCUGUGGUUUUACAAAUAAACAGAUAAGUAACAUUCCUACUCUUUCCUAUAGGUACUCAAUCUUCUUAACAACUCCCAUCCCACACAGGUUUGCAUCCCCAGCAGAUACAUAUGGCUAUGUGGUCACCCAUUCGAUCAGCCUAUAAAAGACUUGUCUUAUUUGAUAUUGUGAAACCCAUGGUUAUCAGUGUAUAUGAAAAUGUUUGGUUCAGGGGUCAAUGUACAAUAUGACAAGCAAAGUCCUCUAAUACACAGUUAUAUAAAAUCACUCACCUGAGAGCCAAGUGGACAAUUGGCCUUAUAUUGGCUGGAGUUGGAGCCCCAGAGGGAAAAUUUGCCUAUUAUUAGGCAACUCUUCAAAACUUUACUUAUUCGUUUCUAAACACUGUCUCAUAAAAUGGGGGAUGCUUUAGAUGAAUUAAGAUUAGCACUAGAUUACUUAUUCGUUGAAAAUUAGCACUAGAUUUCUUAUUGGUUGAACAAGGAGGAGUGUGCACCAUAAUCAAUAUAACCUGCUGCAGUUAUGUAAACACCUCAGGUCACAUAGAAGAAGAUAUACAGAAAAUACAUGAACAAGCUGUGUGGUUGCGUAAAUAUAACCAAGGCACCAAUCCCAACUGUAUCUGGUCAGCCAUUAGAAGCACCCUCCUGAGUCUCACUUGGUUGUUGCCCUUCCUAGGAACUUUGAUAGUUGUCUUAUUAUUAAUCUUUGGCCCUUGCUUGUUUAAAUUCUUGGUAAAGUUUGUGUUUUUUAGAUUACAACAAUUCCACAUAAAGAUGAUACUGACACAAAGCUUCCAAUCCAUCCCGUCUUCUGAACCGGGAAAUAAAGACACCCUGCCUUUAGGUGUCUUUAGAUCUAGAUCAGGCAUCUAGAGAUUUUUACUCCUCCAAUACUUGGCAGGGUCUAUGCCCGUAGACUCAUCAGGAUACCAUGUAAAUGAGGACCUCCCUUGGUACCCCAGAGGCCAACUGUAGACCCUUAUGAGAAAAUCCUGUCCCCAAAAUGAACAUCCACUGUCAGCAGGAAGAAGUUACAGAAGACCAGCCUUUGCCCUUACGAUUAAGGGUCCUCUUGUAAGUAGAGAGGGGAAUGUUAGGAAAGCAGGAGCCUAGGUGAUCCAGAGUGACACCAUUUUAAAAUAAACUCCACCUGAAAACUAGCAAGGCAUCUGCACACAUCUGUUUAGCAAGUAUAUACUUCUGUAACUGGAAUAAAAAGCGUUAUUUUAGAAUAUGCCUAUAGUUUGUAAUAAUUAGCCGAGGGAAAAAAAGUUCACAUUGGUGUAGGAAAAGUGCCCUAAUGGUCAUGGGUAAUAAUGGGACCGUGGUUCUGGUCAGUGAUUUGAUGGAAGGGGUGUAGAUAAUAUAUUGUUGUAAAUAAUAAAAAUAAAAAAUUGUUGUAAGUAAUAAAAAUAAAAUAAUAUUGUUGUAAGUAAUAAAGUAGGAGAAAUAUUUGGUCUUUUGCUUUUGGGUUAGUGCAACAGUAGUACCAUUACUUGGAGGAGAAGUUAGAGAAGGACAAGAAUAGGCUUGAAUAAGAUGAGUGAGAAGAGAGAAAAAUUCCGUAAGUGGAGAUGGCCAGGGAACACCAGGGCAGCAGAAUCUAACUCUGAAUUUAAUGCUGUUGUCUGUUCAUAUUGCACUGCGCUGUAAUCUCCCUAUCUUUCCUAAACCAUUGGCAAAGUCUGCUAUCCACUGGGGCCUUGGGUCGGUGGUGCUUUGGGAAAUACCAGAAGAGGGAAAGUACGGCAAAUGUGCAGUGUCACAGAUGAUAGGAGGAAAGCUGGCCAGUGGGAUGAUUAAAACAAUUUCGGUGGGAGUGGGAAUUCAGACCAUGUAAAUGGUCUGAAUUAAGAAAAUUUCAAGAAACAAAAAAUGUUUCUAAUGAGCCAAAGUGAAAGCUCUUCAUGAUUUCUUUAUAGAGGCUCUCUAGUGCUUGUCCUAAUUUCCUGAAAUCUCAUGGGUAUCUUACUCUCCUGGUGCCCGCCUCAAACAUUCACUGUAGCAAUUAUAUGAGCAGCCUAGAGAAUCCCAAUCCCAGUGGUCUUGCUCCCUGGAUCUACUUUCUCUUAAAAAUCAUUCCCCUAAGUUUCCGUCACUUGGUUGAAGUUUAGUAGAUAUCUCCACAUCUCCAGCUAGAACAGCACCAGAAUUUCAGGACUAGGGCAAUAGAGUCUGAUAUUAAAUUCUAUUUCUAUCUAUCUAUCUAUCAUCUAUCUAUCUAUCUAUCUAUCUAUCUAUCUAUCUAUCUAUCUAUCUACAGAACAAUUUGUGGGAUAGUAGCUUUGGGGUCCCAGAUCUAGGAUGGGCCUGGUCCUCCAUGCUGGUUCUCCUGGGUGAUAUUUCUGUUAGUUUGAACAGUAAUCACACUUUUAUUACUGUUUCAUCUUUUUUUUUUCACUCUUAGACUGAUUUUAUCAUGUGUAUAAAACAUACACACACCUACAUCUCAAGGAUAAACAUUAAUCCUUGAAAAAUAUGUGGUCUAAAACUAUAUUGAGGAGAGAAAGAUAGGACACUUUAAUUGCCACAUGAUUAACACGAGGUCACCACACAGCUUUCACAAAUCUACAAGUCAUUCUAUUUAGGCUGAGUCAAGUUCUCCCUUGGGCCAGCCAGAGCACAAAUAAUGGAGCAAUGUGACUCUUCAAUGACAGAUCUCUGAUUUCCAGAAAAGAGACUUUGAAAUACCCAAUUCUAGUAAAUAUGCAAUUAAAUUUCCAGCUAAAUGACCUUUGCUCCUGUAGUCUUCAUCUUGGGGAAGGGAAAGAAGUCUUAUUCUGUUUAAUAGUUUGAUUUUUAUAAUAGGGUUUGUCUCUGUUAUAAAUCUUGUUUGAUAUUUAAAAUGUUAGCUAAGAGAAAACUUCUGUUUGUUUUUAUUUAGUGGGAAGAAACUAACCCUCAUUGAGUGCCUAGUUAACAUCAGGCACUUUGUACACAUAAUCAAUUGAAUCUUGACCACAACCCUGUGAGAUCCAUGGAUGAUUCUGGGUUUAGUUCUUUGUGAGACUGCCAGAAACUCCCAGAGGCUGGAUCUAUGCAUAAAGAGAGGCCAUUGGAGAGAAUGUCUACUGAAUUGCUGAAGACAAUUGCUACCGAGAAUAGAUCGUAACUUAGGAAGAAACAAUUCAGUACCAAAAGAGUAAUUGGAGCCCUUCUGGAAAACACUAGUAAGGUGAAAAAUGAGAAGAUUAAAUAAGCCAUGGGAAGAUUUUUUAAAAUGACAUGAAACUCCAAGGGUAAAAAGUAACCUUCUCCCGCAGUAUCCUGGUUCCCAUGCUUUCUGUACCCACGUGCCUACUCUUGCAAUCUAUACAUUGUUCCUGUUCAGCAGAGUUUGGAUGAAUACCCAACAGCCUGAGGAGACUGACUGUUACUUGAAAUGAAGGAGUGUUCUUGUUUGAACGAUCCUGCUCAGAAGGACCAGCCUGGGCUUGCAUCUCUUGUAGUAUUUUACUAAACCCUGCAACAGUAGCCACUUUUUUUCCCUGCCAAGUUAUCUAAAUGUAGAGCUUCCUGUGGUCUGAGUUUUAAGAGAUUACAGGUGAUAAUUAACUAAUUAUUUGCUUUACUAUAGAAUCUAUGUAUAGGUGGAAUCGAAGGUGGUGGAAUCUUUACUGAUUCCCUGACCCACUUCACUCAGUGAGUUACAUAUUUGAGGGAUAUCAGUGAAGUGUAUCACUAUGGUCUACUUGUUUGCAACUUACAAAAACCCAACAUGAAUAACCUUGGUAUCCAUGGGCUCUUGCUUCCAAGUUACAAAAACCUAGCAUGCAUAACCUUAGAGAAAAAAGGGAACAUUUUGACUGAUAGAAACCAUGAAAUGAGCGAAAAACAAAACAAAGAAAGUGGGCAGAAAUACAACUGGGAGCAGAAACUUGAAACCAUUCAACUUAAAGAAGACUUUCCCUCUCUCUUAUGUGAAGUGGUGUAUGUAGCAUAGUGGUUAAGAGCAGAGAUGCUAGCCCUAAUAGAUCUGGGUUCAAAUCUUAGCUUUAUUUCUCUUCUGUGACAUAAGGCAAGAAGCCCAAAACUUCUGUGCCCCAGUUUACCUAUCAAUAAGGUAUGAUAAUAGUAGUACCCACCUCAUACAUUUAUUAUGAGCAUUAAGAGAGUUAUCAUAUGACAAACGUUUGAAUUUGUGCCUAGCACAUAGCGGGACCUAUGUAUAAGUGCUACCUGUUAUUAUUAUGGUAUCUCUGAGAACAUUGAUUUCAGUUGUUCACCAUUGACUUGCUUUUGUUAUAGAGUUAGGAAAUAUGGCCAAUAAAAAUGUUUGAUUCGUAAGUCUAACUGCAACAGGAGAAUUCUGAUCUUUCCCUCAUCUUAAGUCCAAAGAUGUAAGGGAGGCUCUCUUUGCUAGCAUGAGUCUGGUGCUCACUCCUCAGCCAAUGAAAUCUCACCAAAUUUGUGGAGUUUGGGAAGAGUUUGACAGCUACUAUGGCAGUCAUGUGGACAUCCUUGAGCAGCUGAAG